UCUGUGCUAGGAAUUGUGUCACAGUUUAUUACAAUUGUGUGUGGUAAACCGGCUAUUCAAGUUGAUGAAAGUGAUAAUAAAUGCCAGAAAACACACUCAGAUGCUUCGCUGUCGUUUCCUGAUCGAUAACUAGUCUCUUACAGUUGUGACCCGUUACACAAAGACAACAAGGACAUGGCAGCCAGAACAUCCAUCUGUGCCUGCCCCCAGGUCAACAUCUACCAUGGCUCAAGGGCCUUCACCAGAGCCAUCACCACCAAGGACCAGAGGACCAGCAUCACUACAGCUGCCACCACGUCAAGAUCUACCGUGG